CUAAGCUAAUCGUUUGCUGCAUUUAACAUUUUGCCACGAGGAACUUCAGUAGCAGUCAUUUUCUGUGCCAUUUUAGACGCUGUGUUAUAAUCUUCCAACAACAUGAACAAGAUGUUUCUGUGUGUUCUGGUAUCAUUCCUGGCCCUUUUCGGCGCCUGUCAUGCCAUUGUAUGUACACCAGGCAUAUGCAAUACAAUGCCUUGUACCGAUGUGACGGCGGACGUAUGCAACGGGAAAAUAGUACCCAAGGGCGGUUUCUGUGGAUGUUGUGACGUGUGCAGGACUCUUCUCAAACCAGGUGACGCCUGCAGUCCUCUGGUGCUGGAAGAUCCAGCUUGUGCCGUCUGCCCUGAUGGGUUCGUCUGCGACCCAAAUUCACUCACCUGCAAACCCGUACUUGUGUCGUAAAUGUAGGUUCCAAAGGAAUAAAGUACUUGGGCCACAGCAGAAUGAAAAAAACUUUGGAUAUGAUUUAGAAUGUAACAACCUGGUAGUUACAGCAUCCACACAGACUAGAGAAAUUGUAAAAAUAUUUAGUACUAUUUCUGUUGUUACGUUUGAUUAUCAUUAAAAAGAUUCAAGUGCACAGAA